AGACCCCAACAUGUUAGAACAGUAAAUUCCUCUUGCUUUUUGCAUUGAUUCCUGGUUCUGUGUCAUUCGCUCAGGGAGUCCCCAGUAAACUAAGACUUGCCACAGUCUUACAACCUCCAUCAUAUCAGAUAUGACUUGACAUUGUCCACCAGAUCUUCCUGAUUGGUCCGCCUCUGCUCUCCGUGGCUAAGGCAACUACAGUAGGGAGGGUUCCUCAGAAGUCAUCUGUACCUCCCCCCCUCACUGAAGGGCAGCGGCACAUGAAGAAGGUAGAGAAAUGAUCCCUCAGCUACAGAAGACGACCUGUGAGAGGAAUGAGCUGUGUGGUUUCCUGGCCCAUUAUACAAAGAUUUGAACAACAGGAUCACUUUCAGGAAGCUCAGAUAUUCACCAUGGCAGUCAUUCAUCGCUAUGAAGAAAUGCAUUGGGUGCAUAGUCAUAUGUCCUUCGUGGCUUCGGUCUGAAUGGGAAAGAGUGUGCUAUUGAAGGCCAGUAGUCAGAGUUGGGUAAGAGUGUUCUUUAGCUCCUAUCAACCUAAGACAGACAUAUGUCAAAAAGCUAUGUUUGUCAUCCAUGACAGGGAAGAAGGAGCAAUAUAGACACCUAAGACAGGCAUGGUCGCCUAGCCAGUCUAUUCCCUAGACAGGAUUAUGGAAAACAAAUGAAUCUUGUGCCCCUGUCCAGCUAUUGAUAACUGUUCAUCUUUAAUAAACAAAAAGGGAGGGGUGAUUGUGCCUUUCCCUGAGCCUUGAGUAGGCUGAACAAAACCAGGAUGGUUUUACAACCUUGCUGGAGUCAUUUGGCCUCACAGCAUUUGUAAUUUCCUACAGGAUCUUUGAGGAGUUGACCUGCUGAGCUUGCUUUGCAACUCAAUCCAGCUGAAACAAAGGAUGGGUCUGUGGGCUUUCCCUAUAUAUCCCAGUGCUAAAUAUUAAACUUUGAGCCU
rnacentral:lncRNA from 1 species